rnacentral:rRNA from 1 species
GUCAAGAAUCUUCCCCAAUGGACGCAAGUCUGAGGGAGCGACGCCGCGUGAGUGAUGAAACCCUUCGGGGUUUAAAACUCUUUUUUCUGGGAUGAACAAAUGACAGUACCAGAGGAAUAAGGGGCUGCUAACCUCGUGCCAGCAGCAGCGGUAAUACGAGGGCCCCAAGCGUUAUCCGGAUUUAUUGGGCGUAAAGCGUACGUAGGUUGCUUGAUAAGUCAUUGGUUAAAUAUCCCGGCUCAACCGGGAAACAGCCAGUGAAACUAUCAAGCUAGAGACUGGGAGAGGCAAGCGGAACUGCCGGUGUAGCGGUCAUAUGCGUUAAUAUCGGCAAGAACACCAAAUGCAAAGGCAGCUUGCUAGAACAGUUCUGACGCUAAUGUACGACAGCGUGGGGAGCGAAUGGGAUUAGAAACCCCUGUAGUCC